GACUUCCACGUGCUGUAAUGUGCGCGCGCGCGCAGAACUGGAGCUGAGGACGUCACCAUGGAAACGAGGCGGCAGCCCAACCGUCAAGCAGCUGAUCGCUGACACUCAAUGUGGUUUCACUUUUUUUUUUAGGUAAGUUUAGUCUAUUAAAUUACACAAAUAGUACAUUAAAGUGUUCCUGACACUUUAUUUCAUGUAAAUUAUACGCUUUCGUUUAAUAUUUACUUUAUAGAAUUGGUUUAGCGUCGUCAGAAAAAGUCCGUUAGCAUCUCAAAGGUAAGGCUAAAUACAAGAGGUAACGAUAGACAUGAGCUCUUGUUUAUUAAGUUUGGGCUUUUAAUGUCAUCUUGUGUGUAGAUGAGCUCGCUCUCUCUCUCUCUCUCUGUCUCUCUCUCUCUCUCUCUCUCUCUCUCCAUAUAUAUCAAUGGAUGAAUGGAAGUGACUUAACCGAAUUAAUUUAACCCUAAAAUUAUCCACUGUUUAAUCCUAAAAUGUGCACUAACGUAACCGGAUAACGUUACAUCACUUACAUAGAGCGUGAAAAUGGACUGAAACCUUCAGGUUUUGAUCUUUCAUGGUAAACACAUAAAUACAAACUUGUUCUGUGAUUUCAGAAGUGCCAGAAAAAAACCUCUAUGACACGGGAGAAGUUCCUGAUUUUAACAUUUCUGAAGGGAGCUGCUGACAGAGAGGAUGAAAACAUACACAUUUUGAUGUCCACGCUUGCUUAUGUUCCUAGGUUCUUCCAUGCUGAUGGCUGUGCUCUAGAGUCAUAUCUCCUGUCGAAGAACAUUUUUAGACAUUAUGAACCAUGAAUAAGUUUAGCUCCAACCCCAGUUAAGCAGACCUGAGCAGCUGAUCAAGGAUCAGCAGAAACUCUGCAGAACAUUGGUCCUACAGCC